UGCAUCCACGGCUGCCAUGGCCAUGGAUGGCCUCCACGUCGUUCCCCUCGGCCUAUAAACAUGCCCAACCGCAACCCUAGCUCCCCCUCAUCCGUUUCCCCCUUGAUCCCCCAUCAGCCCCCUUCUCAUCUGCUCGAAUUCGAGGUCGGAACCUCGCGCGACGAUUGUGCUCGUCAUCACCGUCGUCUCCGGCAUGCGGGAGCACGUCCAGGAGGUCCGGCGCGGCCGGAUCCGUCUGUCCAGGGACCAGCACAAGCCGGGACGUCCCGUACAUUCGCCAUCGACGUCGUCCUCUCCGUGUACAUCGUCGCCGUCCGCCAUCGUUUGCCACUGCUCCGAGCCGUCCCCUGCCUCCCCCGCCUCGCCGUCGCGCUCGUGAUGACGGAUCCUAGGAGCCAGACGACACCACUGAUGAUUACCACUACCCCGAGAGUGCCUACUACAACGUGACGGCCGCUGACGACUUGGAGUAGUUAGGAGGCUCCCAGGCAGGAGGCCUUGCCUUUUCGAUCGUUGUUGUUUUUGUGCUAGCCAUCUUAAGGCAAACUUGUUUAACUCAUGUCUGUACUCAGAUAUUGUUGCUUCCGCUGACUCUUGUGUUUUCGAGCUUAUGUAUUUGAGCCCUCGAGGCCCCUGGCUUGUAAUAUAAAGCUUGUAUUAUUUUAA